rnacentral:rRNA from 1 species
GUCCACGCCGUAAACGAUGGAUACUAGCUGUUGGAGCAAUCUCAGUGGCUAAGCGAAGUGAUAAGUAUCCCACCUGGGAGUACGUUCGCAAGAAUGAACUCAAGGAAUUGACGGGCCCGCACAAGCGGUGGAGCAUGUGGUUUAAUUCGAUGAUACGCGAGGAACCUUACCAAGGCUUAAAUGUAGAUUGACAGGACUGGAAACAGUUUUUCUUCGGUACAAUUUACAAGGUGCUGCAUGGUUGUCGU